rnacentral:tRNA from 1 species
GCCAGCAUAGUGUGGUGGUUUGAGUGUUGGACUAGGACUCCAAGAGACCUGGGUUCGAAUCCCUGCUCAGCCA